rnacentral:misc_RNA from 1 species
AACGUAGGAUCCGAGCGUUAUCCGAAUUUACUGGGCGUAAAGCGCGUGCAGGCGGUUUGGUAAGUUGGAUGUGAAAGCUCCCGGCUCAACUGGGAGAGGCCGUUCAAAACUGCCAGACUAGAGGGUGGUAGAGGGAGGUGGAAUUCCCGGUGUAGUGGUGAAAUGCGUAGAUAUCGGGAGGAACACCAGUGGCGAAGGCGGCCUCCUGGACCAUUCCUGACGCUCAGACGCGAAAGCUAGGGUAGCAAACGGG